CCUACGGGGGGCAGCAGUGGGGAAUAUUGGACAAUGGGGGGAACCCUGAUCCAGCCAUGCCACGUGUGUGAAGAAGGCCCUCGGGUUGUAAAGCACUUUCAGUGAGGAAGAACGCCUGGUGGUUAAUACCCAUCAGGAAAGACAUCACUCACAGAAGAAGCACCGGCUAACUCCGUGCCAGCAGCCGCGGUAAUACGGAGGGUGCGAGCGUUAAUCGGAAUUACUGGGCGUAAAGCGCGCGUAGGUGGCUUGAUAAGCCGGUUGUGAAAGCCCCGGGCUCAACCUGGGAACGGCAUCCGGAACUGUCAAGCUAGAGUGCAGGAGAGGAAGGUAGAAUUCCCGGUGUAGCGGUGAAAUGCGUAGAGAUCGGGAGGAAUACCAGUGGCGAAGGCGGCCUUCUGGACUGACACUGACACUGAGGUGCGAAAGCGUGGGUAGCAAACAGGAUUAGAUACCCUGGUAGUC
rnacentral:rRNA from 1 species